GGGAGGCAGCAGUGAGGAAUUUUGGACAAUGGGCGCAAGCCUGAUCCAGCCAUGCCGCGUGCGGGAAGAAGGCCUUCGGGUUGUAAACCGCUUUUGUCAGGGAAGAAACGGUUUGGGCUAAUAACUCAGACUAAUGACGGUACCUGAAGAAUAAGCACCGGCUAACUACGUGCCAGCAGCCGCGGUAAUACGUAGGGUGCAAGCGUUAAUCGGAAUUACUGGGCGUAAAGCGUGCGCAGGCGGCUUUGCAAGACAGAUGUGAAAUCCCCGGGCUCAACCUGGGAACUGCAUUUGUGACUGCAUCGCUGGAGUGCGGCAGAGGGGGAUGGAAUUCCGCGUGUAGCAGUGAAAUGCGUAGAUAUGCGGAGGAACACCGAUGGCGAAGGCAAUCCCCUGGGCCUGCACUGACGCUCAUGCACGAAAGCGUGGGGAGCAAACAGGAUUAGAUACCCCAGU
rnacentral:rRNA from 1 species